UGGUAGAUGCACCCUGAUUUAGUCCUAGAGAUUUUUUCUCUGGGGCUUUUGUUA
rfam:Microcoleus chthonoplastes PCC 7420 scf_1103659003782 genomic scaffold, whole genome shotgun sequence.